UACGGGGGGGGCAAGCGUUGUUCGGAAUUACUGGGCGUAAAGGGCUCGUAGGCGGCCAACUAAGUCAGACGUGAAAUCCCCAGGCUCAACCUGGGAACUGCGUCUGAUACUGGUUGGCUUGAAUCCGGGAGAGGGAUGCAGAAUCCCAGGUGUAGCGGUGAAAUGCGUAGAUAUCUGGAGGAAUACCGGUGGCGAAGGCGGCAUCCUGGACCGGCAUUGACGCUGAGGAGCGAAAGCUAGGGGAGCAAACGGG
rnacentral:rRNA from 1 species